AGUUAGCACCCCGCUUGCUCCAUUCCUGGUUCCGCCACUGCCUGCCCCCUCCUCCCUCUGCGCGUGCUGAUGGAGGUCAGCACGCGCAGCACCGCACCGCACCGCCUCAAUCCUCCCUCUCCGCGCCGGCGCCUCCGCUCGCCAAGAUCCACGGAUGGCCCUCCGCUGCAUCGCUCCCGUUGGAGAUCCCCCACCUCGCCCUGCCACAAAGCAACACCGCGCCGGCCUCGUCCCCGCCACCAUGCUCCGCCUCACCUCCCCCAUCUUCCCCCAUCGACGCCUCCUCUCUACAAAACCGGCAUGGCAUGUCUUCCCCGACUCCCACAGGCUAUCGAUGACCCACCCUGCACCAUCCCCUCGAUCCCCUCGAUCCCAGUUCUUAUCAGCGCAAGAAAUACCCUGUGGGAAGAAGGAUAUCGAUAUUCGAUAGGUCCUUGGUUGGUAUCUACACCAGCAGUGACAAUGACGCCAUCAAAGGAAGAGCACUUAGCGAUCUGCUGCAUCCCGGUAUCCAGUGCCAACUUCAAAUCAGGCUAAUGCAGUGCAGGACUUGUGACAAGUUGGAUUUGAAAUGAUCCAAAUGCCUUGCAACUGAAUGUACCUGCAUCUUUUCCUCCAGGUAUAUCUGUAUAUGAAUAUCUUCCUCUCCUCCAGGUGCAUGUACAUCUUCCUCUCCUCCAGGUACAUGUACAUCAUCUUCCUCUCCUCCAGGUGCAUGUACAUCAUCUUCCGGUGGAGUGCUAUUGAGGUCUGGGAGCACCAUAGUUCAGUACUUGUUGUAUCCGGUAUUCAAGUCUUGCUGUUGUAUACUGUAUGUACUUGUUGUUGUGUUCAGUAUUCAGGUCUUGCUCCUAUAAUUACUCCUUCAGUGACUACUAUUUGCUACAGCACAAUUGCUCCUUUAGUUCUGUUAUAAUUGUUGUUGUGUUCAGUGGAAUCUGUACUUGCUGUCGUCUGCUACAACUUCAGUUCUUCUCUCUGGGAGCUUCAGUUCUUCUCUGUUCGGUUCACUCUUCAGUUCUGAUCAGCGCUCUUCAGUAGAUUCAAUUCAGGUCAGUGCUCGAAUCGAUUCGUUAGUUCAGUUCAGUGUUUGUCAGUUCAGUUAAGUUCAGAACUGAUUCUUCUCUCUGGCUCCUGUUCUUGUAAUGCUUGAAUUGAUUCUGGCAAUGCGUGAGGGAGCUGGAGCGGCACGCGCGGAGCAAGCUGGCCGGCGAGACCUGUCACGUCCGACACAGAAGUGAACAGCGGUGGCACACCUGCUCUCGCGCGACCCAGAGAUGAAGCCGCGAGCUCGACGGUGACCUUCUCCAUCUCCGCGCAGAAAAUCUAUCUCCAGUGACCUCCUGUCCUCAACUCUGUUAGUGGGGAAAAAAAAGAACUGACACAUAAGUUGCAGAAGCAGCAGAAGCUGUCAAUCUGCAGAAGUUGUAGCAGCAGCAAAAGCUUUUGAUGGCAGGGAUUAACCAAACGAUCGCAUGGUAGCAGCCUAACAGGGAUUACAUGAGUGGCAGGGAUUGGGUGGUAGGGCUCACCUAAGGGCAGCGGUGCGGUUCCGAUCGACGGCGGCGAACCGAGUUUGAACUGGUGGUGCGCGUAAGUGUCGUGGAUCAGACGUAAAGGAAGGUAUAUACGGAGUAGGUUGCUAGAAAAGGGGAUGAGAUUGAGCCGGAUAGGUGUGAUAUUCUUGUUGUGUUCGGCCGAUUCACGAGAGAGAGGUGCCGCAGAUGUCCCAUGGAUCGGGAGAUCGAUCUUUAAUCGAAUUAGGUUCCCCACCCAUAUACAUACCGCUAUAAAUACGUACGUACGUGCAAGGGGUGGAGGACACGCGCUCUCAGUUAGCAGCCUCGAAAAGCAAUAAUGUGGGCGUCGAGAGGCAAUCACACGAUGGGUGACACCGAGACGUCGACAAACACCAUCAAUAAUGUGUGCGUCGCGACGGCGCCGGAAGCAAGCCGGCAUGCGUUCUGGGCAUGGCACGAAAGGCUCGUCGCAGUUUUCUGGAGAGAUCACCGACAAGCUGACCAUGUUGGCAAUGGCGAUAACGUCGCGGUAGCGGAGCCAGUCGAUCAUUGUCGCAGAGAAAUCUUUUUAUGGUUCUUGGUUGUGAUCGGCGUCCUAAUUUCCGUAGUCUCCAUGCUUGUCCUCGCACUCAAAGACGAAGUGCCGAUGAGCCGAGCGCAGCGUGUUGCCGCGAUUGUCGUGGGGAGCAUUUGUGCGUCCAUCGCAGGCUUUUUGUUAGCUCUUGCCCCGUUCAUCACCGUUUGUAUUUUUUUUCACCCAUCCUGUUGACCAGCAGAUUCCAGCGGGACAAAAAACCGUAGAUCUUAUUGUAUAAUUUGGGAUCUCGUAGAUGUAUUGGCAGCGGCGUAGAUGUUUCCAUCGUGUUAACCGAGAUGGCGGCGGCAAAAUCCUCCACCAAAUAGUUGUCAUGCCAAUUUUGGCGAGGCUCGCUCGGGCAUGAUCCAAACAGCCAAUAUUAUACAACAUGAUGUGAUGUUUACACGCC